GAAGGUGUCCCUUCUUGGGCUGUAGGUUGAGGGUUCAAACCUCACCUGCAGCGAAAAAAAUCUAAAGGUUGUGUCAUAGCACUUCCUUGAUCUAGUUGAGUCUGUAUACCCACUAGCCUCUACCACAACCUCCUUAGACUCCCCCUCCCCCUAGAUUAGGGUAGAAUAGGUUAUCGUUGCUGACAAAAAAAAAAAAAAAAGAUCACACCAUAUGCUAUUUAGCUAGUACUACCAAC
rnacentral:lncRNA from 1 species